GGCUCGUUGGUCUAGGGGUAUGAUUCUCGCUUUGGGUGCGAGAGGUCCCGGUUUCAAUUCCCGGACGAACCC
rfam:Ciona savignyi cont_20517, whole genome shotgun sequence.